rnacentral:rRNA from 1 species
GAUGAACGCUGGCGGCGUGCUUAACACAUGCAAGUCGAACGAGAAAUGGAGACGGACACCUUCGGGCGGAAGGCUUCAUUUCGAGUGGCGGACGGGUGAGUAACGCGUGGGUAACCUGCCUCAUACGGGGGGAUAACAGUUGGAAACGACUGUUAAUACCGCAUAAGACCACAGCACCGCAUGGUGCGGGGGUAAAAACUCCGGUGGUAUGAGAUGGACCCGCGUUCGAUUAGCCAGUUGGCGGGGUAACGGCCCACCAAAGCGACGAUCGAUAGCCGAUCUGAGAGGAUGACCGGCCACAUUGGGACUGAGACACGGCCCAAACUCCUACGGGAGGCAGCAGUGGGGAAUAUUGCACAAUGGGGGAAACCCUGAUGCAGCGACGCCGCGUGAGUGAAGAAGUACUUCGGUAUGUAAAGCUCUAUCAGCAGGGAAGAAAAUGACGGUACCUGAGUAAGAAGCCCCGGCUAACUACGUG